CGAUAUCGCUUCGUCAAGAAGCUUUACCAUGAGAGGUGACACCAGCAUAGCCGCGACGACGUUGGUCGCGCUGUUCUCGACGAGUCCGAGCGCGGCAAGGCAGCUGUAAAAUCGUCACAGGUCUUGCGUCACAGAACACUCGUUCGAGAGCGACAAUGUUGGUCUUACUCCGCGGUUAACACCAGCAGCACGUAAUCGAACGAAAGAUCACCACCGCUGCGAACUCCAUCGACCACCUGCUUCACCGUUAACUUCGACCUGAUCGACCCCACGAAAUCGUCCCAUGCAUUCUUACGAUCCUCCGCCUCCUUCCGUCUGAGGGACACAGAACGCGUGUCGGACUUGAAAUCGUGCUUGACAGAGUUGAAACUUUGGAAGCGAUUCAUGCGAACUACCAUGGCAAUCAAUGUGCUAAGGAAACCGACCGAGCGAACCUGCGAGCAACCUCGUCCUUGAUGACGGCCGACGAUCCUGCGCCGUUCACGCUGCUGUACGUGCAUUGCGUCGGGAUCACGCUGAAAGAAAUCAA